GACUUUAUUUUAUCUUUUGCUAUAAAAAUAGCGUAUACAUAAAUAGUUAUAUGAUAAACACUUAUGCUAUAAGCGCUUAACUAUGUUGUUUAUCCAAACAGGGAUAAUAUGUAUCUGAUGUAUUUAUAUUUUUGCAAAUUUUAAAUUGUCCUAGACUGAAUCAAGAUGAACUAUGGUAGAAACAAGUAUGAUCAAGGAGGCUAUUAUCCACCAGCUGGAUCCUAUUCCUAUCCACCUCAAGGAUGCUAUCCCCCACAAUCUACAUAUCCACCUCAAGGAGGUUAUUAUCCACAACAAUAUCCACCAAAUGCAGGAGGAGGGUAUCCACCUUCUGGUUAUCCUCAUCAUCAACCAUCUUAUCAUGCACCACAUGGUUAUCCUUCAGGUACACUUGAUCAUCCUAAUUUGUUAUCAGUAAUAAACAUAGCGAUUCGAGUACUCCUUGUACUUGCUUCGGCUUCUUCCUUUAUUUAUAUAUUCGAUUUCCAUUUUUAAAAAAAGUAAUAAAUAUAUUAGCAUGCAUAUAAACAAUCUUUUAUGAUCUACCUGAUGUUGGUUUAUAUUUUUCACAAAUGGAAGUGGUUUGUUCAGAAUUUGAACAAACCUCUACUUUUUGCGAUCCUUGUUCACAACAUUGAUAAAAAUGAAAUUAUAGCUAAACCACUGGAUCAAUGUAUUUGUGAAUGGUUUAUUUCUCCUUAUGUUUCUUGCAUAGGUUAUAUACUUGACUCAUACAAUUAGUAUUGCAUCUUUGUUUUACAAACUAGACUAUUCUUGCACCAUAGAAUGAUUCUAAGGGAGGGGUAUGUUAUGUACAAUGUACUGAUUUAUUGUUAUUAUAAAGGACAUGGUGCUGGUAUAGGAGGACUGUUUGCAGGAGGGGUGGCUGCAUACGGUUCUCACCAUCUGUCACAUGGACAUGGAGGUUAUCAUCAUGGUCAUGGGAAGUUUAAGCAUGGGAAAUUUGGCAAACAUGGAAAAUUCGGCAAGCAUGGAAAAUUCGGCAAGGGAUGGAAGUGAUGCAGAGGCGAAUAUAUUAAAUAUCCAACUUUGAGCAUGAUCAUCAAUGCUGAAUUAUUAGAUGAAUAAUGUAUGCUAAUUUUAUCUUGAUAAUAAUAAUGUAUGCUAAUUGUUAUUAGCAACAUACUAAGUUUCAAUUGGAUGUUUGCAAUGAACAUUUUCAUUUGGUAUUACUAUCUUUUUAUUUGAAUGUGUGUGGAUGUUCGAUGUAUGUAUAUGAAAGCCCUCAACUUUAUUUAGGGUCUAUUUGGAUUGCCUUAUUUGCAGAUAUUUCUUGUUUGCAAAUGCCACAAUUUGUUUGAAGCAGUUGGUAGAAUCAUAUCCUGGGCCCUUGCAGAUAGUUUCAAUUCUGGUUAGUCUUUCUAAAAGCACUCAAAAGCAAGAUUGGGUGCCACUGAGCUAAUGGCUUGUUGGCUAUAUUAUUGUUACUUAGAGCUUUUACAUUUAAAUGUCUUUUAUUUAUUGUUAAAUGAUUUCACCUAACACAUGCAAUGUCAAGAUUUGUCUCACGUAGUUAGCUCGGUUGUUGAGCUAAAGGAUACCAAAUGAUUUUAAAGGAGGUUUAGGGUUCAAACCGUGAAAACUAACGUAAUCACUAAGUUACUAAAUUUGUCUAUCGAAAAACAUGCAGUAUCCAGACCCUCAUUUCAAGAAAAAACAUCAUAAAAGAAGAGGUCUGCAGAAGCCUUUGGUUGGUGCUAUUGUCGAUAAUUUAUCUCCAGGGGGACAUGUAUAUUUUCUGCAUGCUCUAAUAUAAGUUACUACUCCUUUGAUUGUUCAUUAUGUCAAUUCAAAUUUAUCUUUGGUUGUUGAUUAUGGCAACUCUUAAAGAAGAAUGCCGUUGAGAAAAACCAUAAUGAAGUCGGGGAUUAUGUGACUACGAAUAGGAAGUGUGGAACUUCCAAGAUAUGCUGAUAUUCCAUGCCUGGACAAGACUUGAGAGAUUCUUCUGAAGGGAAUGAAGUAACAGUGCAUGUUUGUGUACCAAAAGAAGCAGAUGUGAUUGAUUUGUUAAAGCUUGAGUGCAACCUUGUCCAUUCCAUGCCUGACAUAUAUGGAAUGGAAAAACAGUACAAAUCACAUGAGAAAAGUACACAUGCUCUUAAAAUGCUUACCAAUGUUUUCUCUCUUGUGACCAGAUAUUAAUAAUUUAUCUAUUUUUUCCUUAUAGAAAAAAAAUUUAAAUUUGUCACUUACGAAAGAAAAAACUUAUAAAUUUGUAAGUGUUAUUAAGAAGUUACAUUGUAAUGUAAAGUUCUUAUGUUGCACAUCUCUUUCCUAGAGGGUAAGGUCUAUAGCUUUGUAAUCAGAUAUUGUGAUUAUUCACUCCUAUUAAGCUCUUUCUCAUAAUCCAAUAAAGAAAUUUAUCUUAGAAAAAUAAGCCUCUCAGAUUACCAUGAAAUUUCUCUCCUGAUCAGUCACUACUUUAACUAGAAUAUAUCUGCCUAGACUAACGUUGGCUUAGUUUGUAAGAAGUUGGCUCGCCCAUAAGGUCAUGGGGAUCAAAUUCCAUUACCAAUGCAAAGAUCUCUUUGGUGAGUGAUCUAUAAGUACCUCUUUUCCGUUUCACCUUCAAACAUGUCACACCGCGUUCCGAGGUAUUGUCCUCUUUAGGUGUAAGCUCUUCACGGUUUUAACGAAAGACGAAUCGUUGUAUUGUAUAUAAACUACCGUUGGUUAAUGUUCCAUUCCACUCACAAGUACACCACAUCAUCUUCUCAGGUAUUGUCCACUUUGGGUUGUUGAGUGACCUUUCACAGUUUUGUCUGUUAUAAAAAGUGUCUAGUUGGAUUCAUUUGGCCUCGAUUCCCAAGCAAUGUGGGACUUUUAAGGUGUACCAAAACAACCUCUGUUAGCGUUUAUUGAGUCUACAGGUCUGUGCUGACCUUGGCGAACCUCGAAACCCAACUCACCUAAACUUUUUAUUAAGAAAAAUAAAUACACCUCCAUACACGUAUACAUAGCAAAAAAGAUAAAUAUAUAUUUAAAAGUUUUUUUUUUCUUUUUCAGAAGAAUAUAUGCUUAAAAGAUAGAUGCAUCUUUUCUUUUUUUUUUGAAGGUGAGAUGUACCUCUACCAAUAAUAUACCGUAAUAGUGAUCUGUAAAAUCAUUUUUUAAAAAAAUAACCAGAUUUGGUAAUUAACCCAACUAACCCAUUCAUGCAUGCUUUUCUUUAUUUAAAUAAAUAACCAGUAUUAAAUAUGCCAAAUAAGAUCACACAAUGAAGGAAAAUAAAUGUGUGAAAUAUGUCACAUAUAUCACUAUAAGAAAAACUUUCCUUAGAACAUAGAUUCUCUUAUGUUUUUUUUAAGAUAUCUUUUGCAAAAAGCAGAAUAUAACAGUCUAAGUUUCAAAUGGAAGAUAAAAAUAUACCAAUUAUGCUUGCAAAAAAGAAUUAAAUAUAUAGACAUAGAUACAUAUUCUUCCCUCAAAAAAAAAAGACAUAGAUACAUAUUCCAUAUUGUUGCGUGGAAACAACGUGUGCUUUUUCAAAAUUGUGAAACAAUAACUAUAAGAAUAGGUGAAAUUUCAAUUCCUUUAACUUUUUAAGGCACCAACAAGCAUUCACUUUGGUCACCUUUGGAUGAUUUUAUAGAAAGCCUUUGCAAUUUUCAGUUGAGUAAGCACCAAGCAAUAGUUAUUACUACUUUUUUUUUUUUUCCUUCAUAUCUUUGCUAACAAAAUCUUGUGUGCUGCAAAGUUUCUUAGUUUGAAUUUGGCUUGAAAUGUUUUAAUUCUUGUUCCUUUCUUGGAAAAUUCCAAGAUAUUUUGAUUGGUUUUGGCUUAACACAUAAACAAAUAAGUUGUUUAUAAUAGGAUAAGAUGUACUUAUAUUUUUGCCAAUUUGAAACUGUUUUAGGGUGAAUCAACAUGAACAAUGGUAGAAACAAGCAUGAUCAAGAGUCUAGUGAGAGAGGUCUGUUUUCACAUAUAACAGGCUAUCCAGCAGCACCACCUGCUUCUUACUCCUAUCCACCUCAAGGAGGUUAUUAUCCGCCACCACAAACUGCAUAUCCACCUCAAGGAGGUUAUUAUCCUUCACAGUAUCCACCACAUGCAGCCGGAGGAGGGUAUCCACCUUCCGGUUAUCCUCAUUCCGGAUAUCAUCAUCAACCAUCUUAUCAUGCUCCACAAUAUGGCUAUCCAUAUCCUUCAGG
rnacentral:lncRNA from 1 species